CGGUGGAUGAUGUGGUUUAAUUCGAUGCAACGCGAAAAACCUUACCCACCUUUGACAUGUACGGAAUUUGCCAGAGAUGGCUUAGUGCUCGAAAGAGAACCGUAACACAGGUGCUGCAUGGCUGUCGUCAGCUCGUGUCGUGAGAUGUUGGGUUAAGUCCCGCAACGAGCGCAACCCUUGUCAUUAGUUGCUACAUUUAGUUGGGCACUCUAAUGAGACUGCCGGUGACAAACCGGAGGAAGGUGGGGAUGACGUCAAGUCCUCAUGGCCCUUAUAGGUGGGGCUACACACGUCAUACAAUGGCCGGUACAAAGGGCUGCCAACCCGCGAGGGGGAGCUAAUCCCAUAAAACCGGUCGUAGUCCGGAUCGCAGUCUGCAACUCGACUGCGUGAAGUCGGAAUCGCUAGUAAUCGUGGAUCAGAAUGUCAUGGUGAAUACGUUCCCGGGUCUUGUACACACCGCCCGUCACACCAUGGGAGCGGGUUCUGCCAGAAGUAGUUAGCCUAACCGCAAGGAGGGCGAUUACCACGGCAGGGUUCGUGACUGGGGUG
rnacentral:rRNA from 1 species